CCGAUCAGCUGUGGCAUGAGGGCUACAGCCCCGACGCAGGUGUAAACAUCCGUGUGGCUCUGACACUCCUACACGAGAAUGCUUCUUGGAUUUGCCGUAAAACAGACUAAAAGAACGACAGGUGAAUUGGCUCCUUCCGGUGGGUUCUCACUCUGGCUGACUUCAAGAAUUAAGCCGGGGAUCUUCUCGUGAGGAGCCCUCCAGACCUGCUCCAUAGCGACGGCAGGACCUGCCUCCCAGCAGAGCAGAGAUGAGCUAGUCAGGAGCAGGAGAAAUGAUCUUCAGACUCUGGGGCCCAGCAUUCCCCAGGUUUCCUGCAGGUCUCAAAAUCUAUCUUGAACAAACUUGCUUACAUCAUUUAUUUUUAAAUAAAAAAGAACCACUAUUGGGAGAAGGUAGUGCUUGAUUUUUUCUUCUUGGCAGAGUUCAUUCCAUAGCCUGCA
rnacentral:lncRNA from 10 species